GCCUAAUACAUGCAAGUAGAACGCAGUUGCGAACGGGUGAGUAACGCGUAGGUAACUGCCUCUUAGCGGGGGAUAACUAUUGGAAACGAUAGCUAAUACCGCAUACUAAGAGAUGGACCUGCGUUGUAUCAGCUAGUUGGUGAGGUAACGGCUCACCAAGGCGACGAUACAUAGCCGACCUGAGAGGGUGAUCGGCCACACUGGGACUGAGACACGGCCCAGACUCCUACGGGAGGCAGCAGUAGGGAAUCUUCGGCAAUGGACGGAAGUCUGACCGAGCAACGCCGCGUGAGUGAAGAAGGUUUUCGGAUCGUAAAGCUCUGUUGUAAGAGAAGCGGUAACUUACCAGAAAGGGACGGCUAACUACGUGCCAGCAGCCGCGGUAAUACGUAGGUCCCGAGCGUUAUCCGGAUUUAUUGGGCGUAAAGCGAGCGCAGGCGGUUAGAUAAGUCUGAAGUUAAAGGCUGUGGCUUAACCAUAGUACGCUUUGGAAACUGUUUAACUUGAGUGCAGAA
rnacentral:rRNA from 1 species